AGUUACAGAGAUGACCGAUAGAGGCACUGAUACCAUUGUCAUUGGAAGGAGGUGAGAGAAGGAGACAGAGAGGGUUGUAGGUGGGCUGACUCUUCACCCAUCCUAGCAGAAAGUCAGAUAAUGUCUGAGUUGGUAAAACAAGAAGCAAUAGUAUAGGCAUGUCAUUUCGAUUCAUGGCAACAACCUUCAGAAGACCUAAAGGCAGGAAUAGUAAAAAGGGAGAACCCCAGAGAAACGGACUAGGGGAAGAGGAGGGUAGGUCAGGUGACUCGCUUCUUGUUAGAACACUAAUUGUAUUUUUUUAACCAUGUGCAUGAAUUACCUAGAUUAUUUUUAAGAAAAAUGUCUUUUUCCAUAAAAAUUGGGGACUACUAUGUUUUCAAAAGAUUCCAAACAAAAUUUCUUUAAAAUGAAAUGUUCCCCAUGUGUACAAAAUGAGAUUCACUUAUAGAAGGAAAAAAUAACUCAUGCAAAGCUUUUUCAGAAACUUAGCUAUUGCACAAAGUGAAGUACUCUGUCUUUCUGAGAGCAUCUUUUUAAUGAUCGUAUAGCUUUUGUUUUUACAACCGAAAAAAGAACAAAAGCAAAAAUGAUGUGGGAAAUUGCUCCUUUUGUGCCUGAGUCCUCUAAAUGUUUAUUCAGUCAGCAGAUGGUAGACCAGCUGUUGGAUGAUGGGCUCUGAAAAUGACCUUGUUCCAUUAAGUGGUAAUAAGUUGACCAUUCUAGAAAUAUGAGAAUUUCCAGUCUAGAACUCUCGUGGAGAAUGGUUUUGUAUUUGCAGUGACAGCAUAUUGUUUCCAUGCUUGCUAAAAAUGCCAUCCACUCUUUUCUGUACUUUCAUAGAAUAUAAAAUUAAUGCAUGUGCUUACUCAUACACGUACACCAUACACUGCAGUCCCAGUUAAAAUGCACCGUAUCUUGCACCUUUAAAUAAUUGCAAGUUGACAUUGUGUAGAUUAUUCCAACAUCAGAUUGUUUAAUGUAAUAACCAACUCCAGGGCAGAUAGAGCUCACAGAGAGAAACCAACGACAUGCUCCUAGCUGUGUCCUAAUAUUUGGACAGACUCAUGUCACUAUUCUCAGUUGUUAAGAAAAGCAUGAGUUAUCACUUUCAGUUCUAUAUUUGUUUGGAAAAAAAAUCAAAUUUUAUGGGUUUUGAAAAGAGAGAUGUUUUGUAAGAGUGGGAAUUGCACAAGAGCCUUUUGCAGUUUCUUAAGAGAUCCCAGAUCACCCAGUCACUCAUUCAGCUCAAGAACAAAAGCAGUAUAGAGCAGGGUUUCUCAAUCUGUGAUGAAGGAACUUUUGGGGUUUUUUAUUUCAAAUCAAUCUCAGAAUGAUAUUUUUAUAAAACACAAAAUCACAUGCUUGGAUGUUGUGGCAAUGUCCAGCUGCCACAAGUUUCUAAACGCUUACUCUGAACUUGGCCCUUUCCAUCAAUUGGUAGCACAGAGUUUGCAGACCAGGACCAGUCUGCAGAGCCCUGAGCUCUGGGUGGGAGGACCACACGUUCAGAAACAUAGCUUUCAGGCUCCGCUUUGCCACAAGCUAAAUGAAGAGCCUUUGGGCCGGUCGCUUAACCUCACAGGGUUGCUGUGAGGACCCAAGGAGGUUUUAUAAAUGAAAGCUUUGUGAACAGUGAAAACUAUAUUCAUAUUAGUUAUUAUUCUUAACCUCUCCAGACCUCAGUUUCAAUUUGACUUAAAGAAAGUUGAAUGAGGUGUCCUUUAUAGCACUUUAAACUUUAAAGAUUCUGUACAUUGAUGCAUUGGUUUAAAUAAAGCAAGAGGGUGGACAGUGUGUCCCUACACUGCCAAGAGGUUUCUGAGGAACUGGGCAUAGAGGGAAUUGUGCCUGGGCUGGCCUGUCUCCUCAUCUUUGGUUCCUCUCGCUGAGGCCUGUGGUAACCGAUAAGAACACGUCAGAACAAAGGCUGCUGUUGGACACUUGCAGGUCCCACGCGGAAGAGAAAGUGAGGUCCCACAUCCCCCAGCCCAGUCCCCUCAGGGAGGCCUUCCAG
rnacentral:lncRNA from 1 species